CCCUCAUUUUUUUGUGGCAGUGCCUCAGGUGACAAAAUGAUAAAACCACUGCUGCUUUACAAAGACUCUAACACCCCACUUGUCUUUUAGAGAUAAACGCCUUCCUGUUUUCUUGUAAUCACACCCAGAAUCACCACUGCCACUUUUUGGAUUAGUUUUACAAUUUUUUUAUCCAUCAAAUCCGAAGUCAUUUAACAAAAAAAAUCUGGAAAUCAGAAUGUUGCUAACUGUGGACAGAGGUCCCAAUCACCCAGAUUCAUUAUUCUUUGUUCAUUCUAAUGUUGAUACUGUGUUUCUCCCUCAGGAAGGCCCUAGCUUUCUUCAGCCCUUGGGUCAGGGUAUAACUGAAGCAUUUGAACAUAAUCAAGCAUAUGUUUGACCACUUUGCUGACUGUAUUGAAAAAACCCUCACCUUACUCUGAAAGAAGCAUGGCAACAGUACAAUAUUGCCGAUGCUUUGGUAGUGAUAAAAGAGGUGAUGGGUGAUAUAAAAUCAGCCACUCUUAAGCUUGCUGGAAACUGUGGGAGGAUGUGUGAAUGAUGCAUAUUUCCCUAGAGCUAAUGAAGAAGUUAAAAAAAAUCUUAGUGUCUGCAAAACAGGAAGAAGUCUUUGCAGAGGAAAUUGAAUGCUGUCUGAUGCUACAAUUCAUAUGGAUCCUUUCCUGGAUUGAAGCCUGACUUUUAAAAAAGGUUUCAAUAAAUUGCUUAUACCUAUGAAGAGAUGCAAAAGAACCUUCAAAAUAAAGCAAAGGACUUGAAGAAAGAGAAGGAAGACAUGAAGAAGAGGAUGUCAUUUAGGUGAAGGUGAUGGAUACAGAAUCUGAGUCUGAGGGGAGCCUGGUUGACAGAGAGACAAAAAAAGAAAUUUUUUUUUUCUGACUAAA
rnacentral:lncRNA from 10 species